rnacentral:tRNA from 1 species
GGAGGGUAUAGCUCAGUGGUAGAGCACAUGCUUGUCAUGCAUGUGGUCCUGGGUUCAAUCCCCACCACCUCCA